CUUGGGAGCAAGGGAAUGGGGAACUACAGAAAUGGAAUUAAGCAGCUGAUACUCAGCUAACUGCACAAGGAACUGGUCAUAGCUCUGGUGCUCACUUCACUGAAGCUUCCAGACCUGAGGAAUAACCAUCAUUGCUGCUUGUGCCGCGCUUGUAAAAGGACUUUCAAGAACUGCCCCAGGACAGCUCCAUCGAUGUUCAUUUCCUCUCCCUGUUAAGUGCUUAUCUGUGGCUAGACACGAGCAGCUGGAUGGAGAUGGAGUGAAAGCUGGAAAAGCUGGAGGGAAGCAUCAGCCAAGAGCCAUUUGCCUGCAGGCUGGAUUGUGGCCGGAGC